rnacentral:rRNA from 1 species
UAACACGUAGGGGGCAAGCGUUGUUCGGAAUUACUGGGCGUAAAGGGCAUGUAGGCGGUUUUGUAAGCCUGGCGUGAAAUUCUGCAGCUUAACUGUAGGACUGCGCUGGGAACUGCGAGACUGGAGUCACGGAGAGGGAGCCAGAAUUCCAGGUGUAGGGGUGAAAUCUGUAGAUAUCUGGAAGAAUACCAAUGGCGAAGGCAGGCUUCUGGCCGAUGACUGACGCUGAGGUGCGAAAGCGUGGGUAGCAAACAGGAUUAGAUACCCUGGUAGUCCACGCGGUAAACGAUGCACACUAGGUGCCGGGGCGGACGCUUCGGUGCCGGAGCCAACGUGGUAAGUGUGCCGCCUGGGGAGUAUGCUCGCAAGGGUGAAACUCAAAUGAAUUGACGG